GUCGGCCUAGCACGCUGCUAGCCUAGCACCAGCAUGCUGCCAGGCUUGGCUCACACCAUCAUCGGUCUGCACCGGCCCAUGGGCCCCUCCGAUAGUCGAUGGGCUAUACCAUCUGCUCCUGGCUUUCUUUCACAUGUAACUUCUCCGUUUGGACUCUGUUUGGACUGUUCUUAGGCUUGUUGAAUUUCGUUCGUCAUCCUAGACCUCAUUUUAGAUUUAUUAUGGUUCGAAUCUUAAGGUAUCUUUUUCAACACCUCGAAUGUCAUAGAUUCUGACCGGCACCUAGCUCCAGUCACAUCAAUACCCCAUCAGAGUCUUACAGUAUUAAAUUGUCACUAGAGAAAUGGUCUCAGGCUCUUUUCAGAAAAAAAUAGAAUAUGAUGCGAAUGAGAGCACAAAACUCCUCCACUUUCCAUCAGCAAUCCAUCCACCGCAACC
rnacentral:lncRNA from 1 species